rnacentral:rRNA from 1 species
AUGGCUGGCGGCGGCGCUGGAUCCGUGGUGAACGAGCCGCCGCGCAGGCGCAGGCGUGACCGUGCCGCCGUCCCUGCCCCCAUCCCUGACGAGGUCGUCCAGUGGGAAAUCCUCGUCCACGUGCCGGCGAAGGAGCUCCUCCGCUGCCGCGCGGCCUGCCGCUCCUGGCGCCGCCUCGCCUCCGACGCCGCGUUCCUGAUGGCCCACCACCGCCGCCAGCCAUCGCUCCCGCUGGUCUUCUUCCGCACCAGGAGCAAUGACUACGCCACCCACGCCGUGGUUGAUGCCUUGGGUAUCCGGCGAACCCCCGCCGCUCGCCGGCCCGUCCUCGGGUUCGACGACUACAACAAAUCUCAUCGUAGCUUCACCAUCCACGCCUCCUGCGACGGCCUCCUCCUCCUUUCCCUCUCCAACCACCGCUUCUACAUCUGCAACCCGGCGACGCGCCAGUGGCUGCAGCUCCCGGAUCUGACCGGCGGCAGUGUCGCGGCCCUGUACCCUCACCGCCCGUCAGGCGACUACCGUGUCCUCUUCUGGAAGUAUCCAGACAACAAGAGUUGCAGGGUUGCCUACUACGUCCUCACCAUCAGCUCGUUCCAGGGACAACAGAGAUGCAUCGGGCUGCCAGUGGCCUCGCCAUCCAUGAACAAGGACAGGUCCUGGUGGCACCUUCAAGCCUCCGAGCACCCGCCUCUCCUGCUACAUGGCUGCCUACACUGGCAUGCUUUCAACAGAAAGAUAGUAAUUUUCGACACGGUGGCAGAGUCAUUUAGCUGGGUGCAAUCUCCCACAGCCACCAGCUUGGCACAUCUGCUUCAGAUGGAUGGUAUGCUCGGCAACGGCUGCAUAGAUACCGCUGCCAUGCCCGCGAAAACAUGGGUGUUGGAGGACUACGAGGCAGAAGUAUGGUCGUCAAAGUACGGACGGAAUUGCCGGAGGAGGAGAUGA